CUUUCAGCUCCACCAACGGAGGUGACCUGAGCUGGGUCUUGAAAGGCAAGCAGGACCUCCUCAGGUAGUAAAAGGGAAAAGUCAUCUACACAGAGGAAUUAACAUAGACCCAGGCAGGAAGCAAGAAAAAGUGUAAUUACGUUUAGAAAUCACCAGGAAGCUCCUGUAGUUGGAUGCGUGAUUUGAGCAGGUAAGAAAUGACUUGAAAUAACGUUGGUAAGUGGGGCUGAGACUCAGCUGCAAAGGGCAAUGCCUGUCUCAAUUUCUAUCUUGGGUUAAUGGAAGAAAGAUGUCCCAAGGUUUCAAGCAGGGAGUGCAGUAACAGCUAAUGUUUGAGAAAGUUCACUUAGGUGGCAGUGCAAAAGAAAGAGAGAAAUGGAGGCAGAGAAGGUAGUUAAGGGCCCCGAAAAGAAGAAGGGAGAUGGAGUGGUAUACUUAAGGGAGAAUAGUAUUCUGGAAAGUUGUUUUUUAAGAUCAUGCAGAUUUUAAUAUGCUGUAGGCUGAAGGUCAGUUGCCAUCGGAGAUGGAGAGAAUGAUGAUCCAGGAGGGAGCGAGAUAAUUGAUGAGGCAAGAUGUUUACCCGUGCCUAGUCUAGCAUGCUGAGUUUCUUCAAGUAACUAUGUGCAGCAUGUCAGUAUCGGUCACUUUGUGAAAGAACUCCCUAAAUAACCUAUGUCAUUGUAUAAGAAUACAAUCACAUAAUGAAAGAAGAACAAACGUCAUUAGAGAAACACCUUCAUCUCAGGAUAGACGGAAUGCUGUGGACUAAAAUAGUCUACCGGGAAAGGGUAAAAUCAUGGAUUGGACAAGAUCAUAUCACAAGACAGUCAAGUUACCAGUAAACCAAAGUGAUGUGCAGGGUGGUGAAGCGAGGGCUGUGAGUGAGAUGCCAGCUGUAGCUCAUAGAAUAAGAGGCUGGAGUCCUCUGGGGCCUUUGGAAAUGGUUUUGCAGCAUCUCUGGGUCUCUUGCGUCACCCUAUGGUAAAUUGGCUGUCCAUCUUUUCAACCUGGCAGACCACCACCCAGAAUGAUAAAGAAUUCUGUCCGCAGAG
rnacentral:lncRNA from 1 species